UUAAACUCGGACCCGUUCGCUGGUGCGCGCUUCGGUACCUUGGGUCGGCACCGGGUAAAGGGAGCCAGGAGGGCGCUGUGUCCGCUGCUCUGAGGAAAGGCUGAGGCUCCGCGUGGACGCCAUCCGGCCUGACUCUGUCUCGGGGCCGGGAGGGGCCUCCGGGCCCCACCAUUGCCCACAGACUCCGCUGGGACGGCCACGCCGAUGGGUGCGAUUCAGGCCACACUGCGCAGCUAGCAGUAUCUUAGUUCCCAGACCAGGGAUCGAAAUCGAACCCAUGGCAGUGAAAGCACCAAGUUUUAACCUCUGAACCACCAGGGAAUUCUGAGAUUCAUUUUCAGUGUGAAGUCAACAAAUGGUGGUUCCCAUCUCUACUGCAGGAGAAAAAAGCAGGUUCCACAUUCAGCAGAACCACUUAUGGACCCUGCACUGGGCUCUGUGACCUUUGAGGACGUGGCUGUCUACUUUUCCCAGGAGGAAUGGAAGCUUCUUGAUGAGGCCCAGAGAUUCCUGUACCACGAUGUCAUGCUGGAGACCUUUGCACUUGUUGCAUCAUUGGGACUUUCAUCUUCUAGGUCCCAUGUUGUCCAGCUGGAGCUGAGAGGAGAACCCUGGGUACAUGACAGAGUGGACAUGACUCCAGACAGAGCAAGAGGGGCUCAAAUUGGGCCUGGCCCUGGGUGUUGGUAUAUAGCAGAGAACAAGGAGACACCUUCUGAGCAGAAUGUUUCUGUAGAAGUGCCACAAAUAAAUACUUCAGAGGCAGACCUGUCCACCCUGAAGUCCUGUCCCUGGGAGAGGUACUGCCUGUACUUAGAAGGUGGUUUGCAUCUAGCUGAGGACCUUGGCACAGACCCUGGCCAGAAACUCUGUGGGGCAGGUGUGCAGUUUCACCAGCGCAGUGGAGAGGAACUCUUUAGAAGAGACGUGGGUAAGACCUUUAUGAAGAGCUGCACCAUCCAUGCAUCCAAGAAGUCUUUCACAUUCCAGGAGCCUUGGAAGGAUUUCCCUUGUAGCUCUGGCCUUCUCCAGCACCAGGUCACUCCACAAAAGGACACCAAGUUUGUAGAGGCCUUUCACAGUGGAGAAAAGCGUUACAAGUGCAGUGAAUGUGGGAAAGCCUUCUGCCGUAAAUACAGACUUGCUCAGCACCAGAGAGUCCACACUGGAGAAAGACCUUAUGAAUGCAGUGAAUGUGGGAAAGUCUUUAGAUGCAACUCCAACCUUGUUAUACAUAGAAGAAUUCACACUGGGGAAAGGCCUUAUGAGUGUAGAGAAUGUGGGAAGUUCUUUAGGCAAAACGCCCAACUUAUUGUGCACCAGAGAAUUCACACUGGAGCCAAGCCUUACGAGUGCAGUGAAUGUGGGAAAACCUUCAUUACUAAAAGCAAACUUGUUCAGCACCAGAGAGUCCACACUGGAGAGAGACCUUAUGAAUGUGGAGAAUGCAGAAAAGCCUUCACCUAUAAACGCAUGCUUGUUCAGCAUCAGAGAGUCCACACUGGAGAGAGGCCUUAUGAGUGCAGUGAAUGUGGGAAAGUCUUUAGGUACAUCGCCAGCCUCAUUAAACAUAGAAGAAUUCACACUGGGGAAAGGCCUUAUGAGUGUAGUGAAUGUGGGAAGUCCUUUAGGCAAAGGGCCCACCUUCAGGUCCACCAGAGAAUUCACACUGGAGCAAAGACUUACAAGUGCAGUGAAUGUGGGAAAUGUUUUAGCCAAAACUCUAUUCUCACUACGCACCAGAGAGUUCACACUGGCGAAAGGCCUUAUAAGUGCAGUGAAUGUGGAAAGUGUUUUAGCCAAAGCUCUACUCUUAUUAAGCACCAGAGUUCACAUUGGAGAAAAACCAUAUGAGGAGAACUCUGAAUGAGGAGAAUUCUUUAGCCAAAGCAUCCAGCUUACUCAACACCGAAAAGCUCACACCACAGAAAGGCCUCAUCAGUGCAGCAAAUGUGGAAAGGUUUUCUGUCAAAGGUCUGCUCUGAGCACUAGAAACUUCACAGCUCAGAUAGACCCUAUGAGUACAGCAAAUGUAGGAAAGCUUUCAGCCAAAGGUCUUACCUUAUUCGAUACCAGAAAGUUCAUACUGGAGAAGUGCCUUCAAAUGAGAUGAGGAGAGCAGCGAAUGAGCUGUCUCCUUAGUUAAUACAUCAUACUGAAUAGACUCUCUGAGGAAGUCAUCAACUGGAAGUUGAAUGCCAUACAUCUGAACAGCCCUCGUGUGCAGAUUGCCUAUGAGUACCAGGUUCAUAGGAAGCUUUUCAGGAGCUACGCUCUACUUUCUAACCUGUGCAAGGCCCUUGCUGGACUCAAUAUCACUAAGUUUUUUACCUCUCCCAUGUGGCAGAUCCCAGUACUGGGGGCAUCAGUCAUCACACUGUGAUCAGGGUUUCGGAAACAUCUGAAAUAUUAUGGCUGUCUCUCUGUGAUCAGCGAAGACUACUUUCCAUGGAAAUCUGGGUUCGUCUCCUUUAAGAAGCGUGAAACCCCGCCCCCGUCCUCAGAGCCUCCAGGACACUCCUUCCCAGGAGCCCCGGCAGUGAGGCGGGGCUUUUCCUGUAGCCGGGGAGCACCGCCCCUUGCCAGGUUCUAGAGGCGGGGAAUUUCGCAACGCUGUGAAGGCCAGAGGUCAGGGAGCCAGGAAGGCGCCGUGCCCGCUUCUCUGAGCUUCGUCUGAGGCUCGGCGUGGGCACCAUCCGGCCUGACUCUGUCUUGGGCGGUUGGUGCCGCAGUGCCCGGGUCCUACCUUCGCCCACAAACUCCGCUGGCGCCGGCGCAGAUGUGUCGGAUUCAGGUUUAUCCUGUAUGGGACUCUGCACUUCUUGGACUCGGGUCUUAGUUGCAGCACACAGGAUCUUUCGUUGAAGCACACGGGCUCAGUUGCCCCACCACGGGCCCUGUGACCUUUGAGGACGUGGCUGUGUACUUUUCCCAGGAGGAAUGGAAGCUUCUUAAUGAGGCACAGAGAUUCCUGUAUCGUGAUGUGAUCCUGGAGACCUUUUGCACUUGUGUCAUUAGGUUGUUGGCACGGAGCAGAGCACAAGGAGAUAACUUCUGAGCAGAAUGUUUCUGUAGAAGUGCCGUGAAUAAAUACUUCAGAGACCUGUCCAUCCAAAAGUCCUGUCCCUGGAAGAUGUGUAGCCUGGCCUUAAACAGUAAGUUUGCAUCUAGCUGAAGACCUGGGAACAAUUCCUGGCCAGAAACUGUGUGUGUCAGGUGUGAAAUUUCACCAGCACAGUGGAGGGAAACUCUUUAGAAGAGACAUGGGUAAGGCCUUUAUGAGGAGCCACAUAGUCCAUGCACAUCCAAGAACUCUUUCACAUGCCAGGAGGCUGGGAAGGAUUUCCCUGGUAGCUCUAGCCUUCUCCAGCACCAGGUCACGCCACAAAAGGAUGCUGACUGCACAGCGGUGUUUCUCAAUGGUCAAAGUCUCUGUAAGUGCCAUGAAUGUGGGAAAGCCUACCCCUGGAUGUAUAGGCUUGCAGAGCAUGAGAGAGUCCGCACAGGAGAGAGGCCUUAUGAAGACAAUCACACUGGAGAAAAAAGACACAUGCAUGCACUAAAUAUGGAGAAUUCUUCAGCCAAAGCACCCAGCUUACUGAACACCAAACAAACAAACCACAGAAAAAGACCAUAUGAGUGCAGCAAAUGUAAGAAAGCUUUCAGCCAAAGGUCUAUAACCUCAUCUGUCACCAGAGUUCAUACUGGAGAAGGCCUUCAAAUGAGAUGAGGAGAGCAGCAAAUGAGCUGUCUCCUUAGUUAAUACAUCAUACUGAAUAGGCUCUGUGAGCGACUCAUCAAUGGAAGUUGAAUGCCAUACAUCUGAACAGCCCCUCGUGUGCAGACUGGCUGUGAGUACGAGGUUUGUAGGAAGCCUGUGCUCUGCAACAAGAGAGGCCACCACAAUGAGAAGCCCACACACCACAACAAAGAGUAGCCCCUGCUCACUGCAGCUAGAGAAAGCCCAUGCACAGCAACAAUGGCCCAACACAACCAAAAAUAAAUUUUAAAAAAACCUUUCAUUGCUCACCAGUCUUCAUUGCUACUGCUACAGUAUCCCUCCCAUGAGACAAGGAGUCAGGGAUGGGGUUGUUAAUGUGUGGUUUGCUAGAGUUCUACUGAAAAGGAGAUUCAGAGUAAGAUUCAGGGGGAUCCUUGGCUCCUGCAAGGCACUGGCACACACCACCCCCAAAAAACAAAUUCAGAUUUUUAUGUGGAGCCAAAAUUUAAUUGAGCUGUAUAAGGGUAUGCAUUGAACAUACCUAAUAAGAUGUACAGCUUGAUUAAAUUUUAAUACAUGUAAACCCCCAGAACCAUCGUCAUAAUUGUCAUAAUUACAAAUAUCCACCAUCACUGCCACAUCCACCUUCUGACACCCCCUCACAACUCUCAGGCAACUACUAUUGACUUCCUUUUUUCCCAUUCAAUUAGUGUUUUCUAGACUUUUAAUAUCAUUGGGGUCUUUAUGUUUCAUAUUCUAAUUUUUUUUUUUUGGCCACAUCACGCACCAUGGGGCAUCUACCCCAACCAGGGAUCAAACCUGUGGCCCCUGCAGUGGAAGUACAGAGAAGUCUUACCCCUGGACCAAGGAAGCCCCUGGUUUCAUAUUUCAAAAUGAAUGAAUAGGGUUGUAUCCUUUUGCAUUCUAACAGUAUGGGAACCUUCCAUCCCCUGUGUUCCUCACCAGUAGUGGGUUGGUAUGGUUAGUGUUUUGAAUAUUACCUGUUUUAAAAGUGUGGAUACAUGCCCCUCCGUGGUCUGAUGCAUUUCCCUAGUGAUUCAUGAUGUUGAACAUUCCUGUGUUCAUUUGCCAGGUGUAUUGUCUUCUUUGAUUAAAUGUCUUUUUAUUAGUUACUGU